rnacentral:lncRNA from 1 species
UUCGGACGUUCUACAGGAAACCAAAAAAAUGCAGGAACAACCUGUAGUGACAGCGCGAUGUGGGGCUUCAGUUCGUCAGGAACGAGCUGAUUGCAGCGCGGGCGACUGGAGGGGCGGCUCCGAAGGUCGGGGAUGGGGCGCUAGGUCGCGGAUCCGUCCGCAGGGCACCGGAUCCAGAGGGAGUUGGGGGCGCGGGUCCCAUGGAGGGUGCUCCAUCGACGCCCUGAGCGAACCUGAAGCUCCUGCAGUUCCUGCUCUCAUACAGAAAAGAGAGAGAGCAUCAGAGAUUAGAGGGAGCAGAGGAAAACGGAGGGAGGAGAAGACGAUCUGAUCUGCUGGGUGCGCUCUCGACGGGCUGGUGG